AGGCAAGAGUAUCCUGCUGGAGAUUCCUGCCUACUUGUGGCCUUCCAAGGGAGCAGACUCCUCAGGUCUAUGUGAUAGAAAUGAAGACCUGCAGGUACCACUGUCUAGAAGUUUGCAGGACUGGGGCGUGAGAGCAUUAGUCCAUUUCACAGAUGAGAAAACUGAGGAGUAGGACAUAAGAAGAGAGCUUCCGAAGAUAAAGGUGUCAGAGGAUAGAAAGGUUAAGUCUGCCAUAGCGCUUCCCUGCAUAUCCAGACCUCAGCAAGGACAGGGAGUUAUGCCAAAAGACGUACUCUUCAAUUUCCUUAACAGUCUUCAGUGAUGGAUUGGUCCCUGUACAAAAGCCUUCACUGAGCAUGAACAACUGCAUCAGUCUGUAGCAGUUAGACUAAAGGCCUUUCUCACUAAUUUAAUUCUGUUUCUUUCUUUUCUCAUGCUUAUGUUGAAAAUUCUGUUAUCAAAUGAUGUUCUAAAUCCAUUUGUAGUGACUCAGCACUUUACAAACCCACACACAAUCUAAAUACUGUGCCAAAUAUUAUUGAAGAUUGAGAUAUUAACUUUACAGCACAAAGCAGUAAGAAAUGGGGAACCAGCCGCAGUUGCAUGUUUAAUAAGUCAUAGUGGUUGGCUUGAACUGGCUAUGAACAUUCAGGAGACUACAUGGAAAAGAUACUUGUAAUCUGGAAAUUGUGUAACCGCUCACUCCUCAGAGAACCAUUUGGACCACUUACAUAGGAUAAUGAUCCUCUCUUGUACAGUACCACAAUUUCUAUCACUGCUCUGCACUACUUGGCUGAAGACGCUGGAGAGCCUGAAUGUUACAGAGAUCACUGCCACCACAGGCUGCUGGGAUGGGCAGCACGUGGCGUUGACCUGGAAAAGACAGAAAAUUAAGGGACUAUAGAAGCAGCCCACCAAUUUCCAUGGUGUUUUUAAAGUACU